UACGUAGGGUGCAAGCGUUGUCCGGAAUUAUUGGGCGUAAAGAGCUUGUAGGCGGUUUGUCGCGUCUGCCGUGAAAUUUCGAGGCUCAACCUCGAACUUGCGGUGGGUACGGGCAGACUAGAGUGUGGUAGGGGGAGACUGGAAAUUCCUGGUGUAGCGGUGAAAAUGCGCAGAUAUCAGGAGGAACACCGAUGGCGAAGGCAGGUCUCUGGGCCACUACUGACGCUGAGAAGCGAAAAGCAUGGGGGAGCGAACAGG
rnacentral:rRNA from 1 species